rnacentral:rRNA from 1 species
AACGAACGCUGGCGGCAUGCCUAACACAUGCAAGUCGAACGAGACCUUCGUGUCUUGUGGCGCACGAGUGCGUACCGCGUGUUAACCUCCCCUUAGUUUCGGAAUAACUCCCCGAAAGGGGUCCUAAUACCGGUUUAUGUCUUCGUACCAAAUAUUAUUCGCUUUUGGUUGGGCCCGCGUUGGAUUAUCUAGUUGGUAGGUUAAAGACCUACCAAGGCGACUAUCCAAAGUUGGUCUGAGAGAAGGAUCAGCAUCAUUGGGAAGGAAACAGGACCGGACUCUUACGGGAGGAAGCAGUGGGGAAUAUUGGACAAUGGGCGAAAGCCUGAGCUAGCAAGGCCGCGUGAGUGAGGAGGGCGUGAGGGUUGUAAAGCUCUUUUAACCGGGAUGAUAAUGACAGUACCGGGAGAAUAAGCUCCGGCUAACUCCGUG